rnacentral:rRNA from 1 species
GUGCCAGCCGCCGCGGUAAUACGUAGGUGGCAAGCGUUGUCCGGAAUUAUUGGGCGUAAAGCGCGCGCAGGUGGUUUCUUAAGUCUGAUGUGAAAGCCCACGGCUUAACUGUGGAGGGUCAUUGGAAACUGGGAGACUUGAGUGCAGAAGAGGAAAGUGGAAUUCCAAGUGUAGCGGUGAAAUGCGUUGAGAUUUGGAUGAAAACCAGUGGCGAAGGCGGCUUUCUGGACUGCAACUGACGCUGAGGCGCGAAAGCAUGGGGAGCAAACAGGAUUAGAUACCCUGGUAGGCCAUGCCGUAAACGAUGAGUGCUAAGUGUUAGAGGGUUUCCGCCCCUCAGUGCUGCAGCUAACACAUUAAGCACUCCGCCUGGGGAGUACGACCGCAAGGUUAAAACUCAAAGGAAUUGGCGG